GUAACAAGGUUUCCGUAGGUGAACCUGCGGAAGGAUCAUUAAAGCGUUGCCGACGUCGGCCCCGGCCGUUCGGCUUGAAAUAUAGCCUGGACGGUGCUGGAGGUCGCCGGCAGUUGCCCAUUCUUGCCUACUGACCCAGUUGCCUCGGCGAGCCGUGCCACUCGUGGCAGACCGGAAGCCGUUUGAACCCCUAGGGCUCAGGCGGCCCUGGCCAGUGCCCGCCGACGGACAGACUUAAAAUCUUUAUAUAUUGGCCGUCUGAGCGUAUAAAGCAAAUCAAUUAAAACUUUCAACAACGGAUCUCUUGGUUCCGGCAUCGAUGAAGAACGCAGCGAAAUGCGAUAAGUAAUGUGAAUUGCAGAAUUCCGUGAAUCAUCGAAUCUUUGAACGCACAUUGCGCCCCCUGGUAUUCCGGGGGGCAUGCCUGUUCGAGCGUCAUUGCAACCCUCAAGCUCGGCUUGUGUGAUGGGCGACCGUCCUUCCCCUAGGGGCGGGACGCGUCCGAAAAGCAGUGGCUAGGCCGCGAUUCCGGCGCCUGAGCGAAUGGGACUUCCACCGCUUCUAGGACCGGCCGGCACUUGGCCUUUAAACACGGUCUUAACUGACCAUCUAGGUUGACCUCGGAUCAGGUAGGGAUACCCGCUGAACUUAAGCAUAU
rnacentral:misc_RNA from 1 species